rnacentral:lncRNA from 1 species
UUUUCUUUCUAAAACGAUAUUUUUUUUUUGAUUAAACAGGGAUAUACCAUAUUUGAAAGAGUAGCUAGUAGUUAAUACACAGGUCCAAAACCCCAAUCUGAACACUGAUAACAGAGGAGUACUUGAUAAAGAACUCCCCUGACAAAAUACUCUUCCCUUAACCCAAAAUAAAAUAAAUCCCAAAACAGAAGAAAUCGUUGCAAAGAGAAAGGAAGCUAGCUUGUUAGAGCAGACUCCCAUAGCAUGGCGGUCUCGCAGAUUCUUUGGCCCAGUUUCCCGCAGUCCUCAAAGCGAUCGUCAAAAAUUCUUCUCUUCCGUUCUUUCCAAAGCUCCCAACAUGUCGCAGCGAAGGCGAGGUCGAAAU